CGCCGACAUCACUCUCAAAAUCAAAUGUCGCUGUCGGCCACAGAAAAUUUGACAAGUCCAGAGGAAAGCUGGUCCUCGCUUCGCAUGUCUCUUUGCUUAAUUUCAUGCGUUUGUGCAUAAAUAACAGACGAAGCGGAACUGAUGCAAGCGCCGAUUGGGCUUUCACUGGGCUUCCUUGUCGCCCUACAUUUGCAAGGUGAUGUACACCCGUCAUUGUGUCCUGGCGAUCAUUGCCCCACAAAAUUGUCGACGACGUACCUGGUCACCUGUCUUCAGUCACAGUGUUGCCAGCCGAAGUUGCAGUGAAGAACUCCACGUAUGGAGAAGCUACGAGCUUGGCCACUGAUGACAUUUCAGGAGAGGCCACCUAUCCAAAGACUCACAGGUGCCAGUUCUGUCCUUAUGUGGCCAAGUACCCGAGUAUUCUGGCAGUUCACCAGCGAACACACACGAACGAGCGGCCAUAUAAGUGCAAUGUGUGCGGCCUGGCAUUCAAGCGGGAACAUCACCUUGAUGUCCAUCGGCGCAUCCAUACGGGCGAGAAGAAGUAUAAGUGCAGCACCUGCUCGUUCAGUUGUAUACACCGGCAAGCUCUGAAGACACACAUGCGUCGCCAUACGGGCGAAAAGCCAUAUCUGUGCACCCUCUGCACAAAAUCUUUUACCUACAGAUACCAGCUCAACCAUCACAUGAUAACGAAUGAGCAUGCGUGACCUCGAGGCUCUUUACUCAGCUUUCCAGCUCAACAAUACUAUCACUUGGUUGUGACAGCGAAGAAGCAAUCUGUCAAACCAUUAUAGAUUGAGUUAUUUACUUGGCGAACUUGUGCUCGGCAAAAGCAACACUCAGUGUACAAG
rnacentral:misc_RNA from 1 species